UUUAACAUAGCCUGCUUUAUGCUGAGAGAUGUGUAUUAGUGAGCAGAUGUUUUUAAAAACAAAACAGUUGUUGGCUGUAGCUAUAUGUAUCCAGGCUCAAAUUAGGGUCAAAAUGAUUUUCAGCUUGUAAAGUGAUGUUCACAAUAAUUCCAAUGUUUGUAGUUUUAAAUCAAACUUUGUAAACCUGUAAAAUAAAUCUGAAUGAGAAAUUCAAGUUUUUGCAUGUGAAAACAAAUAGUGCUUGUGGCAAAGAGAUUUGUAUUUGUUCAGACAGUGUGAAUCAAAACUGAACAAAUGAUCAGUGGUGAGGUUCAACUUAACGAGUUUCCUCCCUCCCAGAGACCAGGAGAGGCAGCGACGGGGGAGAGCACCUCCUGUCCUGGGAAGGAGAGUCUCAGGAGCUGUCUUCUUGGACUGAACUCGGGUUAGCCGCCUGGUGGAGGCCGUUUGCAACCGGCUCUGCGUCUUCACCCGGUGGCCAUGUGGUCCAGAGGGACCGCGAGGACUCGCUGGUCAUUCAGUCUCAAGGAUCAUGUGGCAUCAGAGAGGCGGUGCUGGCCGGCCCCAGGUUCAUGGCUCAGACCAACAUCCAGCUCUUUGAAUUGAAGGGGGGGGGCGGCUGCCUGGAGGAAAAACCCUCCGGCUGCCAACGUCAUACAUCUGCAGCAAGUGUGUCCAACCCAGAAGGAUUGACACUGACCUCACUCACAUCGCAGCUCCUGAGGGAAAUCUGUGUCUUUAGCUUCUUAAUGCUGCACUAUGUUCUCGGACCGAGUCUCUGCUGUUUGCUGCUGAGGAGGUCGAGGACAGAGGCUGCGGCCCAACAAGUUUAUAUAUUCAAAGAUGACAAAGACGCUCACGUCAUGUGCUGUGGUUCAGUGGAUGGAUGGACAUCGGCUGAGAAAACAAUAUAUGAAUAGACGGAUGUGUUCACCUCACACACUCUUUAGUGAGAACUGAACACUGACAGUUCAGAUGGUGAAGCAGGUGUCAGUGUAGUACAGCUCAUGUUCAUUAGUUUUAUUCACAACUUCAUUGUUGUCAUUGAAAAGGUGUUUAAUAAAUAAACCUGUGAUUAAAUUGUA